rnacentral:rRNA from 1 species
GACGAACGCUGGCGGCGUGCUUAACACAUGCAAGUCGAACGGAAAGGCCCUGCUUUUGUGGGGUGCUCGAGUGGCGAACGGGUGAGUAACACGUGAGUAACCUGCCCUUGACUUUGGGAUAACUUCAGGAAACUGGGGCUAAUACCGGAUAGGAGCUCCUGCUGCAUGGUGGGGGUUGGAAAGUUUCGGCGGUUGGGGAUGGACUCGCGGCUUAUCAGCUUGUUGGUGGGGUAGUGGCUUACCAAGGCUUUGACGGGUAGCCGGCCUGAGAGGGUGACCGGCCACAUUGGGACUGAGAUACGGCCCAGACGCCUACGGGAGGCAGCGGUGGGGAAUAUUGCACAAUGGGCGGAAGCCUGAUGCAGCAACGCCGCGUGCGGGAUGACGGCCUUCGGGUUGUAAACCGCUUUCGCCUGUGACGAAGCGUGAGUGACGGUAAUGGGUAAAGAAGCACCGGCUAACUACG